rfam:Dipodomys ordii contig_12580, whole genome shotgun sequence.
GGGAAGGUAGCUCAGCCGUAGAGUGCAUGCCUUGCAAGCAUGAGGCCCUGGGUUCGAUUCCUUAGCACCA